rnacentral:tRNA from 1 species
CCCAGGUUAGCUCAGUUGGUAGGGCGCUCCAUUGUAAAUAGAGAGGUCCCAGGUUCGAUACCCGGACAAGGCG